UACGUAGGGGGCAAGCGUUGUCCGGAUUUAUUGGGCGUAAAGAGCGUGUAGGCGGCCCGACAGGUCCGUUGUGAAAACUCGAGGCUCAACCUCGAGACGUCGAUGGAAACCGUCGGGCUAGAGUCCGGAAGAGGAGAGUGGAAUUCCUGGUGUAGCGGUGAAAUGCGCAGAUAUCAGGAGGAACACCAGUGGCGAAGGCGGUUCUCUGGGCAUUACCUGACGCUGAGGAGCGAAAGUGUGGGGAGCGAACAGG
rnacentral:rRNA from 1 species